GCCGGCGACCAUACCACGUUGAAAGCACCGGUUCUUGUUCGAUCACCGCAGUUAAGCAACGUUGGGUCCGGUCAGUACUUGCAAGAAAUAACUACUUGUACAUAUGUUGUAGAGC
rnacentral:rRNA from 1 species